GAAUUACCCCAAACUGAGCACUCUCUUCCCACUAAAGAAAGAUAAGCGGUAAAUAUGAGUCACCUUUGUAAAGAGCGAGCCGAGGUAGUACUGCCUCUCAAGCUGUCUAGCGGCUUUCAGCACCAAAGCAGCCGCCGCCACAACCCCCACACCGCCUGGCCACGGUACAGCAGGCAAGUAGUUUCCCUGCCGGCUUCUAAACUCUUUUGAAUAGCUUACUAUAAGCGGUAGUUUUAAGAUAAACAGUGACAAAGCAAGUAAGGAGUUUUGCCACACAUCUUCACACAGGUAUUUCAAAUUGGAGGAGUGAUCUUAAAUCACGUCCGUGCUGCGUAUGAGCACAGAGCUGCGGAUGUCAUGUAUAGGAUUGCAUCAGCUACAUGGCAUGCCAACCACUUCCGAGUGGCCAACAAAAGUCAAGCGAAGCCUUACUGGAGCAGUGAAUUCUCUAGGCCAUAUUGCAGGAAAACUGAUCACAUCUGGUUAAGAAACCAGGACUUAGUGCUGUACACAAAUAGAAGAAGAACAUGGCAUUGCAAUUGUUAAUAUACAGUCACUUGAAGAUUCUGUGUCAGGUUUCUAGAGCACAGAAGCAGUGUCAUCUCUCCUUGUACUUCCCAAGGAAUUCACCGUUAUACUCCCCACAAACUGGCCAA
rnacentral:lncRNA from 1 species